UAGACAUCCUGAAACCUCAUUGUU
rnacentral:miRNA from 1 species